GACGAACGCUGGCGGCGUGCCUAAUACAUGCAAGUCGAGCGGACGGAUGGGAGCUUGCUCCCAGACCAUCAGCGGCGGACGGGUGAGUAACACGUGGGCAACCUGCCUGUAAGACUGGGAUAACUCCGGGAAACCGGGGCUAAUACCGGAUAACUCUUUCCCUCACAUGAGGGAAAGCUGAAAGAUGGCAUCUCGCUAUCACUUACAGAUGGGCCCGCGGCGCAUUAGCUAGUUGGUGAGGUAACGGCUCACCAAGGCGACGAUGCGUAGCCGACCUGAGAGGGUGAUCGGCCACACUGGGACUGAGACACGGCCCAGACUCCUACGGGAGGCAGCAGUAGGGAAUCUUCCGCAAUGGACGAAAGUCUGACGGAGCAACGCCGCGUGAGUGAUGAAGGUUUUCGGAUCGUAAAACUCUGUUGUCAGGGAAGAACAAGUACCGGAGUAACUGCCGGUACCUUGACGGUACCUGACCAGAAAGCCACGGCUAACUACGUG
rnacentral:rRNA from 1 species